GAACGGCACACGGGUGCUUGCACUGGUGGCGAGUGGCGAACGGGUGAGUAUACAUCGGAACAUGUCCUGUGGUGGGGGAUAGCCCGGCGAAAGCACUAUAAUACCGCAUACGAUCUAUGGAUGAAAGCGGGGGACCUUCGGGCCUCGCGCUAUAGGGUUGGCCGAUGGCUGAUUAGCUAGUUGGUGGGGUAAAGGCCUACCAAGGCGACGAUCAGUAGCUGGUCUGAGAGGNGGAGCGAGGCGACACCUGGGGACUGAGACACGGCCCAGACUCCUCACGGGGAGGCAGCAGUGGGGAAUUUUGGACAAUGGGCGAAAGCUGGAUCCAGCAAUGCCGCGUGUGUGAAGAAGGCCUUCGGGUUGUAAAGCACUUUUGUCCGGAAAGAAAUCCUUGGCUCUAAUACAGUCGGGGGAUGACGGUACCGGAAGAAUAAGCACCGGCUAACUACGUGCCAGCAGCCGCGGUAAUACGUAGGGUGCAAGCGUUAAUCGGAAUUACUGGGCGUAAAGCGUGCGCAGGCGGUUUGCUAAGACCGAUGUGAAAUCCCCGGGCUCAACCUGGGAACUGCAUUGGUGACUGGCAGGCUAGAGUAUGGCAGAGGGGGGUAGAAUUCCACGUGUAGCAGUGAAAUGCGUAGAGAUGUGGAGGAAUACCGAUGGCGAAGGCAGCCCCCUGGGCCAAUACUGACGCUCAUGCACGAAAGCGUGGGGAGCAAACAGGAUUAGAUACCCUGGUAGUCCACGCCCUAAACGAUGUCAACUAGUUGUUGGGGAUUCAUUUCCUUAGUAACGUAGCUAACGCGUGAAGUUGACCGCCUGGGGAGUACGGUCGCAAGAUUAAAACUCAAAGGAAUUGACGGGGACCGCACAAGCGGUGGAUGAUGUGGAUUAAUUCGAUGCAACGCGAAAAACCUUACCUACCCUUGACAUGGUCGGAAUCCUGAAGAGAUUCGGGAGUGCUCGAAAGAGAACCGGCGCACAGGUGCUGCAUGGCUGUCGUCAGCUCGUGUCGCGAGAUGUUGGGUUAAGUCCCGCAACGAGCGCAACCCUUGUCCUUAGUUCUACGCAAGAGCACUCUAAGGAGACUGCCGGUGACAAACCGGAGGAAGGUGGGGAUGACGUCAAGUCCUCAUGCCCCUUUCGGGUAGGGCUUCACACGUCAUACAAUGGUCGGAACAGAGGGUUGCCAACCCGCGAGGGGGAGCUAAUCCCAGAAAACCGAUCGUAGUCCGGAUUGCACUCUGCAACUCGAGUGCAUGAAGCUGGAAUCGCUAGUAAUCGCGGAUCAGCAUGCCGCGGUGAAUACGUUCCCGGGUCUUGUACACACCGCCCGUCACACCAUGGGAGUGGGUUUUACCAGAAGUGGCUNGUCUAACCGCAAGG
rnacentral:rRNA from 1 species